UAUAUUAUUACAGUAAAAACCCUUUUCGCUUAUCUAUUUUUUUAGGGUUAAUUACAUACAACUCCAUGUAAACAUAGUGAAUUACAAAUAUAUCCCUACAUAUUUCAACUUUCUUAUGUUAUUCCUACAAAAGUCGUAAUAUUUUCAAAUUUGCGUAUGUCGUUAGGAUCAGUUAGAAAAUUUUAGUUAACCAUAGGUAAAAUACUUAACCUUGGUUAGUCAAUGAGAUAAAUCGACAUUUUUAUCCCUUUUAUAUUGCACCUUCUUCUCUCAAUUAAAACUUUAGCAAUGGGAACUCUUCUUCUUCCUCUUCUCCUAUCUCUUUCAUGUUAGUUUCGAAUGUAACUAGAAUUUCUCCGUCCCAAUUCAUCCACGAUGCAUGUUGCUUCGCUACGUCGAACACGUGUUGCUUCCCCAUUUAAUUUCCUCUAUAAUUUUUUCUUAUUUUGCCAAAAAAAAAAGUUUAGGAGCAAAGGAGUGAGAGAAGGUUGCAAUAAUGGUGAAUUGGAUUGGAUUUUUAAAGAGGAAGAAGAUAAGGAGGAAAUGACCAUUAAAAAUUUUUUGAGAGGAUAUUUUUGCAUGAUUAUAGCAGUUGAGAUUUUUGGAGGGACAUAUUUAUGGUGGCAAAAUUGACAUUUCACUUAUAUGCUGUUAAAAAAUAAACAAUUCUUUAACAGUAACAAACCAAAGGGACAAAUAUGAAUAUCCCUAGACUUUUGCAAGGAUAUGAGUUAAAAAUUGAAUUUUGUAGAAAUAUAUUUACUAUUCGAUAUAUUUAUAGAAAACUGUAUGCAAUUUUUUUUUUUUAAAUCAACAAUUAUUUUAUAUUUAUAU
rnacentral:lncRNA from 1 species